rnacentral:lncRNA from 1 species
UGUUUACGUUGACGCUCCGUUAGCAGAUUCCGACCGAUGAAGGAAUGAGAAAACACAGGAAAAAAACUUGCGUGUGAAAGUAGAUUAUAGGGAUCGAAAAUCUAUCUGUCCGAUGGGUAACCGUGAUGAAAAAUCCGGUAUAUAGUGCACGGGGUUUAGAAGUAUGCUUCGUCUAGAAAGGGGUUUAGUAGGUUGGAGCAAAACCCUAUGUCCGCCAAUAUCAAUAGCCGUAACCUUAUUCUUCAGCUGCUGUUUUUCACCUUAACCUAGGAGGACCUAAAAGGUAAAAGCCCUAUCCAGAUACUUGAUCUACUCUCUUUCAUCUGAUAUUGUGAUGUUAGUGAAUUUUAAUUUUCCUUUGGUCUUCCAGAUGUGGACUUUGACUAUGAUUUUCUGUAUCCCCAUAAUAGGAUUAUUAAU